rnacentral:rRNA from 1 species
GUGGGGAAUAUUGCGCAAUGGGGGCAACCCUGACGCAGCAACGCCGCGUGCAGGAAGAAGGUCUUCGGAUUGUAAACUGUUGUCGCAAGGGAAGAAGACAGUGACGGUACCUUGUGAGAAAGUCACGGCUAACUACGUGCCAGCAGCCGCGGUAAUACGUAGGUGACAAGCGUUGUCCGGAUUUACUGGGUGUAAAGGGCGCGUAGGCGGACUGUCAAGUCAGUCGUGAAAUACCGGGGCUUAACCCCGGGGCUGCGAUUGAAACUGACAGCCUUGAGUAUCGGAGAGGAAAGCGGAAUUCCUAGUGUAGCGGUGAAAUGCGUAGAUAUUAGGAGGAACACCAGUGGCGAAGGCGGCUUUCUGGACGACAACUGACGCUGAGGCGCGAAAGUGUGGGGAGCAAACAGGAUUAGAAACCCCAGUAGUCC